ACGCUCGACACCUACGGGAGGCGCAGUGGGGAAUAUUGCACAAUGGGGGAAACCCUGAUGCAGCGACGCCGCGUGAGCGAAGAAGUAUUUCGGUAUGUAAAGCUCUAUCAGCAGGGAAGAAACUGACGGUACCUGACUAAGAAGCACCGGCUAAAUACGUGCUAGCAGCCGCGGUAAUCUGAGCGGGCUGGCAAGGC
rnacentral:rRNA from 1 species